UAACUGUGAUGUUCCACUUUGUAGGAGAAAGUGGGGAUCACAGUUAAGAGAAUCCAGCUUAAAAAAGAGAGAGAGAAAGAGAGAGAAGCCAGCUAGACCUUUCAUCUGCCUUAAGAAAUGCGAAGAGAAACUUGACAACUUCUGAAAGUUCCAGCUGGCAGAAUAUAGCUGCUGUCAACAAAGAGAACACAAUGAUGGUGGCGGAUUCACCUGAAGAAAUGCAGGAACAUAGAGUCUGCCUGGAAUAUCAUAACUGCUUGCCUUUCAGUGGAAAGGAACAAUUUGGUACACAUAACCAAGAAAAAUAUAGAACAACUCGAAGUUGUGAAACUCUUCACAGACAUGCUUUCUGCCUCAUCAGUACUUUGGCCAUAGUUAUAUCUGUGGUUAUACUUUCUGUU